UCUCCCAGCACCUGGACACCCAUCUAAUAUAUUUCUAGCCCAGGCAUGGCCUUCUCUCUGCUGGGCCUGGACAGGGGUUCCUGGGCAGUACUUCGGCUCACUGGCCCGCUUGGCGUCUGUAGGUUCUUUUUCCGAAGCGGGAACAUUGAGCACCCAGAAGAUAAGCUCUUCAACACUUCUGUGGAGGUGCUGCCCUUCGAUGUGAGUAUGGCGGGUGUGGGUGGGAGCUGACAGCGCCCCCUUCUGGCCAGACACUCAAGCCCUGCUGCUUUGCCCUUAGAACCCCCAGUCAGAGAAGGAGGCCCUUCAGGAGGGCCGCUCAGCCACUCUCCGGUACCCUCGGAGCCCUGAUGGCUACCUCCAGAUUGGUGAGUAGGG
rnacentral:lncRNA from 1 species